CCUUUUAAGAUAAAAAAGUUACCUUAGGGAUAACAGAGUAAAAAUUUUUUAGAGAUCAAAUCAAAAAAAUUGUAUACUACCUCGAUGUUGAAUUAAGAAAAAAUCUAAUAGAAAAAAAUUAGAUUAUGGGUCUGUUCGACCCUUAAACUCUUACAUGAUUUGAGUUAAGACCGGCGUAAGCCAGGUUGGUUUCUAUCUUUAAAUUAAAAGUUUUUAUAGUACGAAAGGACCUAAAAACAUAAUAUUCUUAAAUUAAUUAGCUUAUUAAAGCAAGUAUUUUGAAAAUACAAGAAAGAUUUAAAAAUUUAUUAAUUUUAUGU
rnacentral:misc_RNA from 1 species